rnacentral:RNase_P_RNA from 1 species
GAAGCAAGCCAGACAGCCGCUGGCCGGUGCAGCAAUGCACUGGCGGGAGGAAGGUCCGGACUCCACAGAGCGGGGUGACGGUUAACGGCCGUCCGCCGAAAGCCUUGCCGGCGCAAGCCGGCAGGUAUAAGGCGAGGAAUAGGGCCACAGAGACGAGCGUAUUAAGUUACGGUGAAACGCGGUAACCUCCACCUGGUGCAAUUUCAAAUAGGCACGCGAUGAUGCUGCUCGCGGAGCGUGCGGGUAGAAAGCUUGAGCGGCGGAGUAAUCCGCCGCCUAGAGGAAUGGCUGUCAUAGCGCGGGCGACCGCGCCGUAACAGAAUCCGGCCUAUCGGCUUGCUUCACUU